rnacentral:rRNA from 1 species
GACGAACGCUGGCGGCGUGCUUAACACAUGCAAGUCGAGCGGAGCGGCGAACGGGUGAGUAACGCGUGAGUAACUGCCCCCCUCUCUGGGAUAACAGUUGGAAACGGCUGCUAAUACCGGAAAGUGGGGGAUGACUCGCGGCCUAUCAGCUUGUUGGUUGGGUAGUGGCCUACCAAGGCGACGACGGGUAGCCGGCCUGAUAGGGCGACCGGCCAAGUUGGGCUGGUGGACGGCCCAGAUUACUACGGGAGGCAGCAGUGGGGAAUAUGGCACAAUGAGGGAGGCGCUGAUGCAGCAACGCCGCGUGCGGGAUGACGUCAUUCGGGUUGUAAACCGCUUUAAACCAUGACGCGGUAGUGGCAGAAUAAGCACCGGCUAACUACGUGCCAGCAGCCGCGGUAAUAC